AUCGCUUCUCGGCCUUUUGGCUAAGAUCAAGUGUAGAAUUAUGCUUCCCACAAAAAAUUUUCUCAUUCUAAAACAUUUAACUAGAAGCUGUUACACAGGAUUUGUGUUAUCUAAGACUCUUCUCAAGUUUCAUGUCUUAAUUAGGUUACCAGAGAUACUGUACUUUAAAAACCCCAA
rnacentral:snRNA from 1 species